GCCAAUCAGCUUCAUGCCGCCGGAUACACGACACUGUCGCACUUGGCCAACGCCGACGCCACCCUGCUGGUCAGGACGGUGGAGCGCCUCAGCAGGAAACAAGCCACCCUCAUUGUGGCCUCAGCCAAAAUGUUGCUCAUUGAGAAGGCGGCCGCGCUGCAACAGGAAGUGGAUCAUCUGCUCGCCGCGCCGCCUGACCUGCCUGACUGAACUACAUGUUGCAAGACAACCAUCUAUGUUUACGUCUUCAAGUCAGCUUAGCGUAGCCAGUACGUCCUCGUGUCAGCUUAGCGUAGCCACUAAUGCACCAAGAUUUUCCUAUGAUUGGAAGAAAACAGCACACCCACAAGUCCUAUUUUUAUAUUUCACUUUUUUUAAACACAAGUACACUUAUGAACCAUGUCAAUGACAAAAUAAAUGUCAGUUAAAAAAACUAAUGUGUGUAUGUGUGCGCAAAUGAGAAUCUUUUAAUCUUUAAUCUUUAUCUCCUAUGACCACUCCUUGUGUUCCUUGACAUUUCCCCAGGACCAGAUACCAAAGAAGCAAUC